UGCAGUCGAACGGUAAGGCCCCUUCGGGGGUACACGAGUGGCGAACGGGUGAGUAACACGUGGGUAAUCUGCCCUGCACUUCGGGAUAAGCCUGGGAAACUGGGUCUAAUACCGGAUAUGAACUCCUGCCGCAUGGUGGGGGUUGGAAAGUUUUUCGGUGCAGGAUGAGCCCGCGGCCUAUCAGCUUGUUGGUGGGGUAAUGGCCUACCAAGGCGACGACGGGUAGCCGGCCUGAGAGGGUGAUCGGCCACACUGGGACUGAGACACGGCCCAGACUCCUACGGGAGGCAGCAGUGGGGAAUAUUGCACAAUGGGCGAAAGCCUGAUGCAGCGACGCCGCGUGGGGGAUGACGGUCUUCGGAUUGUAAACCCCUUUCAGUAGGGACGAAGCGCAAGUGACGGUACCUGCAGAAGAAGCACCGGCUAACUACGUGCCAGCAGCCGCGGUAAUACGUAGGGUGCGAGCGUUGUCCGGAAUUACUGGGCGUAAAGAGCUCGUAGGCGGUUUGUCACGUCGUCUGUGAAAUCCCUCGGCUUAACCGGGGGCGUGCAGGCGAUACGGGCAGACUUGAGUACUACAGGGGAGACUGGAAUUCCUGGUGUAGCGGUGAAAUGCGCAGAUAUCAGGAGGAACACCGGUGGCGAAGGCGGGUCUCUGGGUAGUAACUGACGCUGAGGAGCGAAAGCAUGGGUAGCGAACAGGAUUAGAUACCCUGGUAGUCCAUGCCGUAAACGGUGGGCGCUAGGUGUGGGGUCCUUCCACGGACUCCGUGCCGUAGCUAACGCAUUAAGCGCCCCGCCUGGGGAGUACGGCCGC
rnacentral:rRNA from 1 species